rnacentral:ncRNA from 1 species
AUCGACCGGCCGGAUGCUGUGGCGUCCGGCCCACAAGUGGAGGCUCCGUUCUCCCACCUGACCGCCUUCCGGGGCGGCGGGUCACCGGUCAGGCGGCAUCCAUCGUUCCGUACGGACGAUGGAAAGCCGCCCGAGUCUGCGCCCCGCGUCUUCGCAUGCGGCGGUGCUCCGGUUGUUUUGGAGCCCCUGCCUGUGCCCGGCGGGGCUUUUUUU